rnacentral:rRNA from 1 species
AGAGUUUGAUCAUGGCUCAGGACGAACGCUGGCGGCGCGCUUAACACAUGCAAGUCGUGCGGUACCGAUGGCAAGUCUUCAUGACGAGCCUUCGGUAUAGCGGCGGACGGGUGAGUAACACGUGAGUAGCUGUCCUAGGGAGGGGGAUAACGCCUGGAAACGGGUGCUAAAACCCCAUAAGCCUCGCAAGAGGUGAAAGUGUACUUGUUACAGCCUUAGGGUGUGCUCGCGGCCUAUCAGCUAGUUGGUGAGGUAAUGGCUCACCAAGGCGACGAUCAGUAGCCGACCUGAGAGGGUGAUCGGCCACACUGGAACUGAGACACGGUCCAGACUCCUACGGGAGGCAGCAGUGGGGAAUAUUGCACAAUGGGCGAAAGCCUGAUGCAGCAACGCCGCGUGAGCGAUGAAGGCCUUCGGGUCGUAAAGCUCUGUCCUCAAGGAAGAUAAUGACGGUACUUGAGGAGGAAGCCCCGGCUAACUACGUGCCAGCAGCCGCGGUAAU